rnacentral:tRNA from 1 species
AAGAUUUUAAGAUAAUUUAAUCUAUUAACCUUCAAAGUUAAAUAUAUAAUAAUAAUUGUAAAUCUUA